AUUGAACGCUGGCGGCAUGCCUUACACAUGCAAGUCGAACGGCAGCGGACCUUCGGGUGCCGGCGAGUGGCGAACGGGUGAGUAAAGUAUCGGAACGUACCUUUCAGUGGGGGAUAACGUAGCGAAAGUUACGCUAAUACCGCAUAUUCUGUGAGCAGGAAAGCAGGGGAUCGCAAGACCUUGCGCUGAUUGAGCGGCCGAUAUCAGAUCAGCUAGUUGGUGAGGUAAAGGCUCACCAAGGCGACGAUCUGAAGCGGGUCUGAGAGGAUGAUCCGCCACACUGGAACGGGGACACGGUCCAGACUCCUACGGGAGGCAGCAGUGGGGAAUUUUGGACAAGGGGGGCAACCCUGAUCCAGCCAUGCCGCGUGAGUGAAGAAGGCUUUCGGGUUGUAAAGCUCUUUCGGCCGGGAAGAAAUCGCGCCAGUUAAUACCUGGUGUGGAUGACGGUACCGGAAUAAGAAGCACCGGCUAACUACGUGCCAGCCGCCGCGGUAAAAC
rnacentral:rRNA from 1 species